GACGAACGCUGGCGGCGUGCUUAACACAUGCAAGUCGAACGGUGAAGCGCCUUCCUUUUUGGUGGGUGUGGAUGAGUGGCGAACGGGUGAGUAACACGUGAGUAACCUGCCCCCUUCUUCUGGAUAACCGCAUGAAAGUGUGGCUAAUACGGGAUAUUCUGGGUCUGUCGCAUGAUGGGUCUGGGAAAGAUAUUGUUUCGGUGGGGGAUGGGCUCGCGGGCUAUCAGCUUGUUGGUGGGGUGAUGGCCUACCAAGGCGGUGACGGGUAGCCGGCCUGAGAGGGUGGACGGUCACAUUGGGACUGAGACACGGCCCGGACUCCUACGAGAGGCAGCAGUGGGGAAUAUUGCACAAUGGGCGAAAGCCUGAUGCAGCGACGCCGCGUGCGGGAUGGAGGCCUGCGGGUUGUGAACCUCUUUCGCCAGUGAAGCAGGCCUGCCUCGUUUGUGGGUGGGUUGACGGUAGCUGGAUAAGAAGCGCCGGCUAACUACGUG
rnacentral:rRNA from 1 species